rnacentral:lncRNA from 1 species
UGUUAUUCGUCUUCUUUGUUACUAAUAAAAUAUUAAAUUACGAACAAAAUCAACCCUUAAUCCUAAUUGAUUAAUCAACAUAGAUCGUUAAAAAUAAUAUUUAUUUUCUCUUUCUAUUAUUCUAAAUGGAUUUAAAUGUUAUUAUAAAAUCAAUUUUAUCAAUAUCUCGAUCUAAAUCAAGCAAUUUCUUCGAUUAAUAUAUUAUUUGACUUCUUUGUUAAACAUAAAGUAUUUAAUUAGAUACAAUACCUGUUAAAGCGAAGGCGCGUCUUCCGGAGGAGAUUUGACGCUGUUCUGCGCGGAAGCUCGACGUCGGCGACUGCGACGACGAGGAAUCGGGACUGAAUAAGGCGAUUAGGGAUUUUCAAAUAACUGCUGUCCGUUAACACUGUAGCAGUUGGAUUAUCCUUAAUCAAGAAUAUAACAAUUGUAUUAUUACUUUAAUCACGAGUUUUACAGUGUAUUUAAAGUACAAAACUCUAAUCUCAUUAUUACAGCUAAUCCUGAUUAACUGAAUCUCAAUUAAUUCGAUCUUCCACGUGUUUAUUGAAAGUUUUGCAGCU